rnacentral:rRNA from 1 species
GACGUAGGGCGCGAGCGUUGUCCGGAUUUAUUGGGCGUAAAGAGCUCGUAGGCGGCUUGUUGCGUCGACCGUGAAAACCCGGGGCUCAACUUCGGGCUUGCGGUCGAUACGGGCGGGCUAGAAUUCGGUAGGGGAGAACGGAAUUCCUGGUGUAGCGGUGAAAUGCGCAGAUAUCAGGAGGAACACCGGUGGCGAAGGCGGUUCUCUGGGCAUGAUCUGACGCUGAGGAGCGAAAGUGUGGGGAGCGAACAGG